UGAGGAAUAUUGGUCAAUGGGCGCAAGCCUGAACCAGCAACGCCGCGUGAGGGAUGACAGGGCUCUGCCUUGUAAACCUCUGUCGGAUGGGAAGAAAAGCCGGGUCGCCCGGCUGGGACUGUACCAUUAGAGGAAGGGUCGGCUAACUACGUGCCAGCAGCCGCGGUAAUACGUAGGACCCAAGCGUUGUCCGGAUUUACUGGGUGUAAAGGGUGCGUAGGCGGAUUUGUGCGUCAGAGGUUAAAUCCCAUCGCUUAACGAUGGAACUGCCUUUGAUACGGCAAGUCUUGAAUGCGAGAGAGGAUGAUGGAAUUCCUGGUGUAGCGGUGAAAUGCGUAGAUAUCAGGAGGAACACCAGUGGCGAAGGCGGUCAUCUGGCUCGUUAUUGACGCUGAGGCACGAAAGCGUGGGGAUCAAACAGG
rnacentral:rRNA from 1 species